UCGAUUCAACCCAAAUGAGAGGGGAGAUGCUUGUAGUUGUGCUGGUGUUCAAUUGAAUGCAUGUGCACGCUCAGCUUCUUCCUUUCUUCAUUUACACACCUGUGAACUUGUUGUAGGGUAUCUCUAAGAUGCUCUAUGUCUUUUUCAUAUACACCAUUAUAUGUUUUAGAAUGUAUCUUUUGUUCUCAUUAGAGACAAAAUAAAAUCUUUAUAACUUUCAGCAACGGAUCUCUUGGCUCUCGCAUCGAUGAAGAACGCAGCA
rnacentral:misc_RNA from 1 species